rnacentral:rRNA from 1 species
UAAAACCAGCUCUUCAAGUGGUCGGGAAUAUUAUUGGGCUUAAAGUGUCCGUAGCCGGUUUGGUAAGUUCCUGGUUAAAUCUGGCAGCUUAACUGUCAGUCAGCUAGGAAUACUACUUUACUAGAGGGUGGGAAAGGUUUGAGGUACUCCAGGGGUAGCGGUGAAAUGCGAUAAUCCUUGGGGGACCACCAGUGGCGAAGGCGUCAGACUGGAACACGCCUGACGGUGAGGGACGAAAGCCAGGGGAACGAACGGGAUUAGAUACCCCGGUAGUCCUGGCCGUAAACGAUGCGUGCUAGGCGUUGGUAGGGCUUUGAGCUGUAUCAGUGCCGUAGGGAAACUGUUAAGCGCGCCGCCUGGGAAGUACGCUCGCAAGGGUG